rnacentral:rRNA from 1 species
GAUGAACGCUGGCGGCGCGCCUAAUUCAUGCAAGUCGAGCGAACGGACGAGAAGCUUGCUUCUCUGAUGUUAGCGGCGGACGGGUGAGUAACACGUGGAUAACCUACCUAUAAGACUGGGAUAACUUCGGGAAACCGGAGCUAAUACCGGAUGAUAUUUUGAACCGCACGGUUCAAAAGUGAAAGACGGUCUUGCUGUCACUUAUAGAUGGAUCCGCGCUGCAUUAGCUAGUUGGUAAGGUAACGGCUUACCAAGGCAACGAUGCAUAGCCGACCUGAGAGGGUGAUCGGCCACACUGGAACUGAGACACGGUCCAGACUCCUACGGGAGGCAGCAGUAGGGAAUCUUCCGCAAUGGGCGAAAGCCUGACGGAGCAACGCCGCGUGAGUGAUGAAGGUCUUCGGAUCGUAAAACUCUGUUAUUAGGGAAGAACAUAUGUGUAAGUAACUGUGCACAUCUUGACGGUACCUAAUCAGAAAGCCACGGCUAACUACGUG